GUCGUUUUGUCCGAGUGGUUAAGGAGAUGGCCUGCUAAGCCAUUGUGCUUUGCACGCGCAAGUUCGAAUCUUGCAGGCGACG
rnacentral:tRNA from 1 species